rnacentral:rRNA from 1 species
UACGUAGGGUGCAAGCGUUACUCGGAAUUACUGGGCGUAAAGCGUGCGCAGGCGGUUAUGCAAGCCAGAUGUGAAAUCCCCGGGCUCAACCUGGGAACUGCAUUUGUGACUGCAUGGCUAGAGUACGGUAGAGGGGGAUGGAAUUCCGCGUGUAGCAGUGAAGUGCGUAGAUAUGCGGAGGAACACCGAUGGCGAAGGCAAUCCCCUGGACCUGUACUGACGCUCAUGCACGAAAGCGUGGGGAGCAAACAGG